rnacentral:lncRNA from 1 species
CGCAGCAGGGCCCGGGGCCGCCCGCGGCUCCCGCGCCCUCGCUCUCAGACCGCUGACAGAAACGUGCCGUAUCCCAGGUUCCCCCCCCCCCCAAAUUGUGACUGAAACGUGCCCCCGUUCAGGGUUUUUUUCCCCCUCAAACUAACUCGGCCUGUCCUUUAUUCUGGUAGAACCGAGGAGCAGGAUGGUGGAGGAGGACAGGGAGUGACAGCGUCAGCUCCCUGCGACGGGAGCCGCGCUCUCGCAGGGCACCGAUCCCCGGGAGAGCUCGCCGCCGCUCCGCGGGAAGAGCUCCGAG